CAUUAGCCCCGAUAGAAGCGGCAUCCUUUUUUGUCUUUGCGCCAGAAGGUUGUUCCGGACUGUUUGCCUGUUCCGCAAUGACAAAAAAGAUAUAGCGGAUAGCGGGAUAAAGC
rnacentral:sRNA from 1 species